rnacentral:lncRNA from 1 species
GCCUACUAUGGUUGAAGUUCUGGAUAUUCUAAAGGAGAUUCAGACUAGUGAACUUGACAAUGAGAAGAGAGCUAAAAUAGUAGCAGUUCCUCCUUUCCCUGAAUCAGAAAAUUUGUUAUUGUCGAAGCAAGUCAAAUCCCUACCUUCACCAAAUUCUUUGAGUGAUAAAUGGUUUACUUGCUCUGAUAUAACUAGUACAACUAGUUAAAGUUCUAUAGCCCCUUUCUUUACAGUCAGGACAUCAUGCAGAAGAAAACUGAUGCCUUUUUUCAUGAUUUUGAGAAAUACAAUGUGUAAAGAUUUCAAUGUCUAUUAUCACCAUCCCAGUAAAACAUUGGGAAAUUCUAGUGCUAAGAUAAGUGUCAAACUUCCAGAUCACUGUUCAAUAAUACAAUUGCCAAUUCCUUUGCCUACACCAUCUAAACUAUAUGCUAGUGACUUGUUUGAACUGUUGACUUCUAAUAUUCUGCUAGAAUGGGAGUUGUCCAAUGAUUGUCAUCACUGUCUUGAGAAAGGAGGGAAAUGCCUGAUCGGUCGCGAACACAAAUUUCAUUGUUCCAAAGGUAUAUGCAACUGAAACUUGUGGGAAAAAAACUAUUGUUCUGCUUGUUUUCUAUUGAGGUUUAUCUAAAAUAGCUUCUUUUUUUACUUCAGGAAAAAAAGAAAAAAGUAAGCUGAGAAUGAUUCUGGCUGCAGGUAGUUGCCUGUUAUUAACAAUAUUUGUUACCAAUAACCACAUUUGUAGUUUAGAAUAGUACAUUUCAAAAGAAUCAGACUCUGAUUACUUUGUCUUAUGUUUUCUAGUUUUUAGUGGAGUUGGUUUGAUCCUAGUAUCUUCCAUUGUCAUCCUUUCUAUAUGGCGUUACAAGAGAAGGAAGAAUGAUUCUACACAACUUCGUCGGGAGCUUGAGGUAGAGAGCAGAUAUUUUGGAUUUCAGGUUCCAGUUUUUUCCUAUGCUGAACUUAAAGAAGCCACCAAUAAUUUUGAUUCCUCAAUGAGCUUGGAGAUGGAUGUUUUGGGACUGUAUAUUAUGGUAAGUAUAACUUUAAAUGUAAGACUUAUGCUAAAAAGACAAAAACACUCAGUAUCUCACUGUUGUUGCAUGUUAUGAAUUAGGAAAACUAUAUGAUGGAAGAGAAGUUGCAGUAAAAUGCCUAUAUGAGCACAACUGCAAGAGAAUGCAACAGUUCAUAAAUGAAAUCGAAAUUCUUACUCGGCUGCACAUCAAGACGAAGCCGUGAACUUCUCCUUGUUUAUGAAUACAUUCCUAAUGGAACAGUUGCUGAUCAUCUCAACGGCGAAGGAGCAGUAGAGGGAUCGCUCAUGUGGCCCAUCCGUAUGAGUAUUGCAGUAGAAACAGCCAGUGCAUUGGCCUACCUGCAUGCUUCUGAUGUAAUACACCGCGAUGUGAAGACUAAUAACAUUCUUCUUGACGACUUUCGUGUCAAAGUUGCAGAUUUUGGGCUGUCAAGACUUUUCCCUAAUGACGUUUCUCACAUAUCCACUGCUCCUCAAGGGACUCCUGGAUGCGUCGAUCCUGAGUAUCAUGAAUGUUAUCAACUUACUGACAAAAGUGAUGUUUAUAGUUUCGGGGUUGUCCUUAUCGAGCUGAUAUCAUCAAUGCCAGCUGUGGACAUAACUAGGCAUAAGCACGAGAUCAAUUUGGCUAACUUGGCGAUAAACAGGAUACAAAGAUGUGCAUUUGAUGAACUGAUUGAUCCAUUGCUCAGGUUUACAUCAGAUACACUUGUUAAGAGAAUGAUCAUGUCUGUCGCGAAGCUAAAGUAUUGGACAUUUUGAGAAAUAUUCAGAGUGGAAAAUUCCAAAAUGAGAAGACAUUAGAGACUAGUGCUAGUUUUAACUUAAUCAAGUCUAAGGGUUUGCUCUCUUUCAAGAUCUCAAGUUCGAAACCCAUUGGAUGCAAACAAUUUUUGAGGGCCAUCGGACUGGGUAAAACCUGAAUUAACCGUGGUGCACUUGCGGGAAACUCCUUGCCGAGGGCCUGUGCACCCCCAGGAUUAGUCGGGGCUCGAAGAGACUCGGACACCCAGUGCAAAUCAAAAAAAGAAACCGUCUAAGAGUGUUAAUAUCCCUCCUUUUUCGCCUGAAUCAGAUGAAGUUGCACUGCUCAAGAAAGUUAAGUUCUUAAGUCCAUCAGAUACUAAUAGUGAGAUAUGGAUUAGUGGCUCUACUACAACUAGCACUGGUGAGUGAAUAUCUUAAGAAUUUACAAAAGAAUGUAUUUUCAGACUUCAGAAUCUACUAUAGGCAAUGUACAUAUAAUAAAUAUGUUAUGCUACUUUUGCUUUUUAACUGUCAAUGUUCCUGAAAUUAUUUCCUUUCUAAAACAUCAAUGUGUUUUUUGUCUUGUUCCUGUGCCUUGACACAAACUACUGGCUUCCAAGUUAAAAGUUGGAAAAACUGAGGAAAAUGUUGGGAUCAAAAAUAACAAAGCGUCAUGCGGAAGCUAACAAAGCAAACAUUAGCGACGAUAAAUCAACAAACUCAGUGGAAUCCCACAAGUGGGGUCUGAGGAGGGUAAUAUGUACGCAGACCUUACCUCUACUUUAAGAAGGUAGAGAGAUUGUUUCCGAUAGAGCAUCGGCUCAAGAAUAGUGAGUGAGUGACAAAUUCUCUUAUGAGGGAGCAACAAAAAGUAGAGGGGAAAAAAAGCAACCAUCAAAUUGUGUUUAGUGGCCUUAGUUAAACUCAAACUUGGUUAUUUAUAAUAGGAGAAAUUCCUUAGAUAUAGUAGGCUAUAUUCAUCAAAAGGCCAAAAACAAGGACACAACAACUCAUUCUCUCAAUUAACGUAGGACGUUUUAACAUUUUUGCAUGUCAAGGGAUCGACAUUUAAAACGUGUACAGUAAUUAGGGGUCCAACAUUUGGUAAACCAAAAAUAGAUAUGAGCCCGACUCUAAUAUCAUGUUGAAUACAAUGGACAUUAGGAUUAAUUCAAUCGAAAAAACUAAACUUGUGAUAUGAGGAUUACCUAAGAUCAUAUAACUAGAUGGCGGAAGUAAGAUUUCCACCAAGGGGAUUCAAAAAAUUUAAAAAGUAAACACGCAAAGAAACUAAAGGGAUUUAACGCUUACUAUUAUACAUGAAAAAUAUUAACUUUAUUUAGUAAGUGUAAUUUUCGACGAAAAGGGUUCAGCCGAACCCCUUUCUGCCCACCUAACUCGCCCCGGAGACAACAAUCCACUCCAUCAACCAAACCUAUGAGGGUCACUUAACAAAACACAUUUUCAUAAUUAUUGUUCAUUUUAACUCUCAUUGAUGCAUUCAUCAGUUUUGUGGACAGAAAACCUGAUGCCACAAGCUUCAUUUAGCAGUCAAGUCACUAGGAACUUGAAAGUGAUGAGACAUUUUGACGUAUAUAAUUCGUCUAAAAGAAUCCACAGAAAUAUCAAGGAAACAUAAAUACUACUACAUCUGUUUCAAUUCAUAUGACGUAGUUUAUCUAGCACAAAAUCAACAAAAAAAGAAGAUUUUUGAAACUUGUGAUAAUAAACAUGUCAUAACAUUGUCCGGAUUAAUGAAACUUGGUCUUAACCGUGUUCAAUAAGGAUAAAGUGACAAGUUCAAAAUUAAAUUGUUCCACAUAUAUAAACGUGUCAAUCUUUUCUGAACGUAAUCAAUGCAAAGAUAAAGAUAGACAUGUUUUGUUCACAUGAGUGAAAAUGAUAGAGAACUGCUAUUUUCUAUCCUUUCUAAUAAGACCUAGUCAAAUGAUAAGAUGAGUGGAAAAUUUUCUCCAAUUUCUUGUCUAUACAGAAGGUCCCUCUUUUUUGAUGUCUGCUUCUUCAAGACUUUACUAAUAAGUUCCAAGUCAAGCUGAGAGUGUUAGAAAAUUUGGGAAGAUCAAUCAUUUUCUUUGAAGUCUAAGUGGAGGAAAAUAUUUUUAUUUUAUUUUCUACCCGGUGUUCGGUAUCUGCAUUGGAGCCCGACUAUAUCCGGAUUCGCAUCGCGUAUGUUUCAUUUGGAGGAAAACGCUCCUUACCAAAAAAAUUUUCAUACCAAGUGGAGGAAAAUAUACUUCUUUACUUCUUUCAAUUUGGUUCAAAUUAAAUAGCUAUAGUACUUAGUGAGUAUUACCAUUCUACCAUGUAAAAUAUCUAGUAUAUGUAUCAUAAUUUAAUUGUGGACUCUUCCCUUUGUACAUGUAUUAAACCAUAUUAUAUUCUUACAUUAAUUUCCUAAUACAUUACCUUAAAAAUUUGUUAGUAUCAUGAUGUAGGACGAAAUGUCAAACUAACAAUAAUAUAUUUAUAAAAGAAAAACACAAACAUUUUCCAGUCAAUUUCCUACAUUUAUGGAGUGGACUGAUUAGUCCGCCUUGUGUGUGCACCGAUCAUUUCGUCCCUUCUGCUCGCCAUGCCUUCGUGGCCAGGUCUUGCCUACAUCGCAGCUCUUAACUUUAAGAGUUCUGCAUAUAUAGUCGAUCAUAUUAAUUAUUUAUUUUUUUUAGUCGGUGUAUAAAUUAUAUUUUAAUUCUUUAUUCUUACGAGAAUCUCCAUACGCGACUAUAUCCAUAUAUAUACAUAAAUUAUAUGUACAUUAUAUAUUCGCGACUAUAUUUAGUUUAAAGGUGUUAUGUAUAAUGUCUACCUCAACUUAUGUUUAAUGUCUUUGGUGAUUUUGUUAAACAAGGGACUAAAAUCAUAAAAUAAAAAUAAAAAUAAAAAGACAAAAUACCAUUUCCGACCAGCUCUUACGUGAGGCUAGCCGGAGAUUACUUUCCCGGCGAGGUAGGUUAGGGUUUGAAGAUGAAAAUGGGUUUAACGAAUGAGGAGGAAGAGGAAGAGGAAUGGAAAAUGGGGAAGGGUUUGUUGAACCCUAGCUGGUCGGAAAAUGUAAAGGGGAUCACCGGAGUAAUCUUCCGGCGAAGAAUUGAUUUCCCGAAAAAGCAGCGGUUUCUCCGUUCAAAGUCCCUCUCUUUUUUCUUAGGCUCAAAAACUUGUGAAACUGAAAAGGAAGCACAAUUGAAGAACACACGGCUUGAUUUUUAGAAGUUGAGGUAUCUAUUUGAGUACUCAUGCAAUUAAGAACUUUUUACUUUAAAAAUCUGUGCAAAUAUUGGUGUCAAUUUGAGUAUUAAGCCAUGGUUAUAUGCACUCUUGUCCAGAGUUGGAUUUAGGAUUUUAGUAUAAUGUACUGGAUUUUUAAGGUUGUUAGUACUGAAGUUGUUUCUUUAGCUGAGGGUCGAAAAUAACCUCUCUGACCGUCAGGUAGGGGUAAGACUGCGAACACCUCACCCUCCCAAUGCCCCACUUGUGGAAAUACACUGGGUCGUUGUUGUUGUAGUACUGAAGUUAUUGCAUUUAAAAUUAUGGAUUCAAAUAUAAUAUUUGUUGACAUUUUAGUGCUUUCACAUAAUAAAUCUAUACUACGGGUCGAAAUUACUGGCUUCGAAUAAAUCCGUGCCGAAUCCGCCCUGGGUUUGUUUCACAAGCUAGCAAUAAAAAUUAAUGAUUGAUUCUUUCUCAUAUUUUUGAAGAAGAUGGCUUGGAACAUAGCAAUAAUUUCUAGCUUUCUAUAUAUUGACAAACUUGAAAAACUUUCUUGGUAGUUUCCAAUGAGAAAGUGAGCAAAUGGAAGGUUUGAUUUAUAUUUUAUAAUACUAUUUAAGUGCUUUUUAGGGUGUGACUAGAACCAUUUCCUUUUUCGCUUUCACCUUUGGAUGUAUGUGCAAACCAUUUAAAUUUAUCUUUAGAUAACUGAAAAUGAAUAUAGCCGGGGGCGGAUCAAAGAUUUUAACUUUAUGGGUUCGUAAGUUUCUUAACCCACAAUUUAUUUGAUUUUCUAGGUUCAGAACAUAUUUUUUGUACCUAUAGGGUUUGAGCCGAAGCUAUUGGAUUCGGUUGAAGCUGCUCGUUAUGUUGUAGAUCCACAGCUGAAUAUAGCUUCUAUUUCUACAGUUUAGGUCAUCCAUUUUGGAGACUUUGGUUCUGAAAAUGAUGUGAAGUUGCUGUUGAUAUGCAGAGUCAAGAAGUCAAGUUUUUCUAGUGCUGUCAAUGACUAAGAGAGGCUAAUGUGAACAUUUCCUUUUUUUUUUCUUCACCUUCCUUUUCCCUAAUAAGUCUGGCCCAUGUUAUACGUUUGGUUCCACAUAGUGUUUCUUUUUGACAAAUUUACGACAAUUUUGAUCUUGUAAGGAAGUCUUGUGAGCUAGUUAGAUUUGUAACUCACAAAACUUCAGCUAGCCUUCCUCUUCUGGCUGUAGGAUUCACAAUAUGACUUUGGCUUAUUCUUUUAUUUGCCUCCUUUUAUCUCUUCUUCUGAUCUUAGUUCAGGCAACGGGCAGAAAUGAUUCUAUUUGUCCAAAGUCCUUUUCAUGUGGUGAAAAUCUUACUGACCUGAGCUUUCCUUUCUCUCUUUCCACACAACCGGACUGUGGAAUAAUUUCUAUUUCUGGCUGUGAUGCUAAAUCAUUUCCAAUAAUCCAACUGCUUCCUGGAGGAGAUUGGUACUAUGUUUUAGGGAAGAAUAAUUCAUCAGUUUGGCUUAGCGACCCGAAGCUUCAAAUGACGUUGACACAACACAAGUGCCAGGCUUUUAACAACAAUUUCUCCCUUCCGAACUCUCCUUCUAUUUCUUUUACUAUGCUUACGCUUUAUAACUUCUUCAAAUGCAACAGCACCAGCAAUAAUACGCCAAAUAUUACCCAGAAGAAGAAUGACACUUUCGCUGGUUAUAAAAUGUACAAUGGAUGUGAAGGCUUUAGCAUAUACUACAAGCGUCUCGGAGAUGAUAAAGUUAAAGACAUUCGAGCUGACAAUCUUCCUGACAACUGUUCACUUAUCAGAUUGCCAAUUCACUCACUAUCAAGUGAUGGAGAUUUGUUCCACUUGUUAGGUCCCGAAGUUCUAGUAGAAUGGGAACUGUCUGAUGACUGUUACCAAUGUCACUAUAGUGGAGGUCAAUGCCAGACUGAUAUUACCAACAACUUUCGUUGUCACAAAGGUAGACGUCUCCAAAUAAUCUACGUGUUCAAGGUCAAGUGCAUAUUCUUAGGGCCUUUUCUUGUUUUCGUAUCACAUAUCGAUAACAUAUUUAGUGUAUUGUCCCUUUUUCAGAUGCAAACACAACUAGAAGAAGUAUGAUGGGGCUGAUUCUGGCAGCAGGUAGUUAAAUAUAGUUUAUAGCUGCAAUUUAAUUACUUUUUUAGAGAUUCCAUCCAUAUCAUUUAAAUUUCAUUUUCAUAGUGGUAAAAGCUCAAAACCUUUCUCUAAUUAUUUAAAUUACACAAAGUGUACGGAUGGUGGAGUUAAGGGAAAAUGCUUUCUCCUUGCUAUUUCUUUUUUUUUCUUUUCCAAAGAACUGGAUUACUGACUUCUCUUUCAGUUUUUGGUGGAGUAGGAUUGGUGAUGAUAACUUGUUUAGUUGUCUACCUUAUCUUGCGUUACAAGAAGAGGAAAUUUAGUCCAUCCCGCUUCCUCUCAACAAAGAAAUUCUCAGAUAUAUUUAAGCAUGAUUUCGAAGGAGGCAGUAUAUUCUUUGGUGUUCCAGUCUUCUCUUAUUCAGAACUUGAAGAAGCCACAAAUGAUUUCAAUUCCUCUAGAGUACUUGGAGAUGGAGGUUUUGGAACUGUUUACUAUGGUGAGGAACUUCCUAAUCCAACUGAUUUAUGCUUCAACAAUUUCAUUUUUUUUUUGGCUAAUUCUUGUCCUUCACUGAACAGGAAAACUUAAGGAUGGAAGAGAGGUUGCUGUAAAGCGCCUUUACGAGCACAACUGCAAGCGAAUGGAGCAGUUUGUAAAUGAAAUUGAGAUCCUUACUAGACUAAGGCACAACAAUCUAGUCACCCUCUAUGGCUGCACUUCAAGCCGAAGCCGUGAACUACUCCUUGUCUAUGAAUAUAUUCUUAAUGGAACUCUUGCUGAUCAUCUCCAUGGUCGCAGAGCGAAGCAACGAUCACUCGCGUGGCCAAUCCGCAUGAACAUUGCUGUAGAAACUGCUGGUGCAUUGGCUUACUUGCAUGCAUCUGACGUAAUACACUGCGAUGUCAAGACUAAUAACAUACUCCUUGAUCACAAUUUUAGUGUUAAAGUUGCAGAUUUUGGGAUUUCAAGGCUCUUCCCAGAUGAUGUCUCUCAUAUUUCAACUGCACCCCGUGGAACCCCUGGCUAUAUUGAUCCAAAGUAUCAUGAAUGUUACCAGCUGACUAGUAAAAGUGAUGUUUAUAGCUUCGGGGUGGUCCUUGUCGAGCUCAUUUCAUCAAUGCCAGCUGUGGACAUGAAUAGGCAUAACCAAGAGAUUAAUUUGGCUAACUUUGCAAUAAACAAGAUUGUAAAAUGUGCAUUUAACGAGUUGAUCAAUCCAUCCCUGGGGUUCGAUUCAGACACCAAGAUUUGGGAAAUGACUACUUCUGUGGCAGAGUUGGCUUUUCUAUGCUUGCAGACAGAUAGGGACAUGAGGCCUACUAUGGUUGAAGUUUUGGAUACUCUAAAGGAGAUUCAGACUAGUGAAUUUGAUGAUGAGAAGAAAGCUAAAGUAGUAGCAGCUCCUCCUUUCCCUGAAUCAGAAGAUAUUUUAUUAUUGAAGCAAGUCAAAUCACUACCUUCACCAAAUUUUGUAACUGAUAAAUGGAUUACUUGCUAUGAUAUAAAUAAUACAAAGUAGUUCAAGUUGUAUACCCCCUUUCUUUAUGUUCUUGAUGUAAAUUUUGAGAGACUAUGAAUGUACUACAUAGAGAAGUUUCUUGAGCUAUGUAUCUAUGAAUGAAGGUGAUUCCAUUUUUAAUCUCAUUUUAUAAGAGUUCAAGUUAUAUACACUGGCAGUGGAAAAGCUUUAAUUCUGUGUUGGUUGGUUCCUUCCAAGAUGUUUAAUAUAUCAAUGUGAAUGGAAGUGCAUUGCGUUCAGUCUUAUUGUGGCUAACUAAUCGAUCAUUUGUGUGUUCUUGCUGCAGCAAAAGAAACUUGGGACUACUUUUGAAAAAAGCAAAAGAGUGUUUAUUUCUUUUGAGGUUGUAGUGGUCUUAAGAGUAUUUUUACUCGUUACUACACAAUAUAAAAUUCCUUGCUAUAGUGAUAUCAGUUGCUCUUCUUGGCCGUGGUUUUUCCCUUAUUCAGAAGGGUUUCCACGUAAAAUCUUAGUGUCAUUAUUGCUGCAUUUCUAUUCUUGUUGAUUUAACCAUAACUUAGUGUUCUGCAUUUAUCAAUAUUAUUUUUACGGGAUUUAUUCCCAACAGUGUGUACGCAGAUCUUAUCCCUACCAUGGGGUAGAGAGUCUGUUUCCAAUAUACCCUCGGCAUCCUUCCCUCCAAGAACUCCUCACCUUCCUCUUGGGGUGACUCGAACUCACAACCUCUUGAUUGAAAGUGGAGGGUGCUUACCACCAGAGCAACCUACCUUGUCAAGGUGGAACUCACAACCUCUAGUCACAGGUACAUGUCUAUAAUUAGCAGUAACUUUUAUCUGUAACUAGACUUGCACAAAAAUAUUCUGUUGUUCUGCUCAAACUUAGAAUUCUUAUAUAAGUUGAGGGGCAACUAUUUCAAUACCAUAACCAUAAAACGUAACCUGUUUAAUAUCUCAAGUGCUUUGCAGUUCUUGAUGGUUUUCUGAUCAUAGCAAUCUGCAUAGUGAUCCUCAUAAACUACUGUUGCAAGAAGGAAAAUAGAAGUUUUUUUAAUAUUCUCCAUGAAGCACCCCUUCUGAGCCCUCAACACGAAGCUUCGAGAUUGACGGCAGGGUUUUUUUUUGGGGGGGGGGGGGGGGGCUGAACUCCGGCAAGCUACCAUGAAUUUUGAUUCCUACAGAGAACUUGGAGGUGGAGGAUAUGGAACAGUGAACUAUGGUAAGAAGAUUUUCUAAAGCAAUCAUCAAAUCCUGUGUUCCGGCAACUAUGAAUGUAGCAACAGUAGCAAACGCUGGGAGUGAAAUAACCAACGACUCACCGGAAAAAAAAGGGUGUCCUAGACAUGACUCUUAUUAGAGAAUGUGAGGCUCGCCGGAGUUUUGCUUCCGGCAAGGAGGCUUGGGGUUUGAAACUGGUGAAACAGACAAGUAAUUAGAGAUAAUGAAAAAGAAAAAGAAAGAAAAAGAACAGAUGAAAUAAUUUUCUAUGCCUACCUAAAUUUUGAAUGGAAGUACAUGACCCUACAAUGAUUUUCAUCUCCUGUGUUAAUUUUUCACUGAUAGAUCAUGUAACUAUAAUAACAAUAAUAGACUACAAAACCAAAUCUCCAAGAAGAAUGAAAGAUGGUUGUUUUAUCCACAUCAGAGCAAUUGAAGAAUGUGCAUGGUUUGAAGUGUUCAAAACAUUUACUUUUUACAAAUUGAGGUAUCUAUUUGAGAACUCGUAGGAAUUAGAGGGCACAUCCAUUAGGAAUUUGUGCUAGUAUGGUUUCAAUUUGAGUGUAUAGUCAUACUGAUAUGCACUAUUGUUUCAAUCUUAGUCAUAGACUCUUAGGGGUCGUUUGGUUGGAAUACGAUUUAUACCGGUAUAAGUUAUGCCGGUAGAAGUUAUAUUGGGAUAAGUUAUGCCGGGAUUAGUUAUGCUGAGAUUGUUGUUUAUUCAUUGUUUGGUAUGUUGUAUUAAGAAUGACAAUUGCAUAAUUUCUAAGAAUAAGUUAUAAGUUAUACUGGUGCUAAUUACCCCACCUUCUAUAAGGUAUAAAUUAUCCUGGUGUUAAAAAUAACACCAGGAUAACUUAUACCUGGUUUGCUAACCAAACAUAGUAUUAAGGUGAUAUUAAAUUUUUAUACCACCCUUAUACCUUCUUAUACCUCAUACCAAACGACCCCUUAGUGUCUUGGAUUCUGGGUCAAGUGUUGCAUUAAGCUAGGGAUCAGUGUUAUCAAAAGCGGAAAAAAACUCUAAGGUACAUCGAGGUUUUAAGCGCAAAUAAAGUGUGGGCUUUAAUGAAGAAAGACGCAAAUGGAGAAAAAAAAAUAUAAAUAUGUAUGUGUAGUCUAAGACUAAUAGUUAUAAGCAUACAUAACAAAUAUAUGGAUAAAGAAAUUGAUUUUUUUUUUUUACAAUAAAGUGAAAUAUCAAUUGUUUAGGUUUGCCUUUUCAGCACUAUGCUCAUUGGCAAGGAAAAGUAUGCCUUAGAGCCUUGAUGACAAGACUAAAGCGCCCGCUAAGCGAUGCGAAGUGCUCAACAUGUUUUGAGCCUCACUUUAGUGCUUAAGCGCGCCUUUGACAACACUGCUAGGGAUUAAAAUUAAUGAUUGAUUCCUUUUCAACUUUUUAAAGAAGAUGGCUUGGAACAUAGUAGCAAAUAUUUCUACUUUACUCCGUAUGUUCUCCGUUAAUCUUGAGAAAAUUUAUUGGUAAUUUCUAGUGACAAAAGGAGCAAAUGGAGUUUUAACCAUAAGAAGAACAAGAUUUGAAGCUAAGUAUGCAAUGUUAUUUUGACAUUUUCAGACUAUCUUUAUGUGCCUUUUAGGGUGUAACAAGAACCUUUUCUUUUGUUUUUCACCUUUGGAUGUAUAGCUUCUAUUUCUACAAUUUUAGUCAUCAUUUUUGGAGAAUUUGGUCCUGAAAAUUGUCAGAAGUUGCUGUUACUAUGCAGAGUCAAGAAGUCAAGUCUUUCUACUGGUGUCAAUGCUGCAAAAGCUAAUGUGAACAUUACUUUUUUUCUUCACCUUUCUUUUCCCUAAUAAAUCCGACCCUUCUUAUACGUUAAUUUGUUUCACAUAUUGUUUCUUUUUGGCAAAUUUUACCAAUAAGCUAAAGACUAGUAAUAUAGAAAGUAUUUAGAAGUUAUGAAACUUGAUCCUAUAAGAUAUCUGGUGAGCUAACCAGAGUUACAAUUCACAAAACUUCAGCUAGCUUUCCUCUUCUUGCAGUAGGAUUCAAUAUGGCUUUGGCUGCUUCUUUUAUUUGCUUCCUUUUAUCUUUUCUUCUGAUCUUAGUUCAGGCAAAUGGCAGAAACGAUUCUAGUUGUCCAAAGUCCUUUUCUUGUGGGAAUCUUACUGAUCUGAGCUUUCCUUUCUCUCUUUCCACACAACCUGAUUGUGGAAUAAUCCCUCUAUCUGGUUGUGAUGCUAAACCUCAUCCCAGAAUCCAACUGCUUCCUGGAGGAGAUUGGUACUAUGCUUUAGAGAAGCAAUAUUCAUCAAUUUGGCUUGGGGACGCGAAGUUUCAAACGACAUUGAAUCAACACAAGUGCCAGGCUUUUAACAAAGAUUUCUUCCUUCCAAUCUCUCCUUCUGUUUCUUUCCCUAUACUUAAUCUUUACAACUUCUUCAAAUGCAACAGCACCACUAAUAAUACCCCGAGCAUUACCCAGAAGAAGAACGAUCAUUUUGCUGGUUAUAAAAUGUACAAUGGCUGUAAAGGCUUCAGCAUAUACUACAAGCUUCCCGGAGAUGAUGAUGUUAAAGACAUUCCAGCAGACAAUCUUCCUACCAACUGUUCACUUAUCAGAUUGCCAUUUCACUCUGUAUCCGGAGAUGGUGAUUUGUUUGACUUGUUAGGUCCCGAAAUUCAUGUAGAAUGGAAACUCUCUGAGGACUGUAGCCGAUGCCACUAUGGUGGAGGUCAAUGCCAGACUGAUAAAACCAACAGAUUUUAUUGUCACGAAGGUAGACAUCUCCAAAAUAAUUUAUACUUUCUAGGCCAAGUACAUGUUUCCUUAGUCUCUUUCUUGUCCCCCUUUUGUAGAUACAAACACAACUAGGGGUAGUACUGAUCAAAGAAAAGAAUCAACUCGAAGAAAUACAGUGGAGCUGAUUCUGGGUACAGGUAGUAAAAUAUAUUUAAUAGCUGCCAUGUUAUUUUUAUUACAGAAUUUUCAUGCAUAUCAUUUAAAUUUUCAUCAUUUUGUAUAAGCUCAAAACCUUUAUCUCGCGAUAAAGAAACAUAAAGAAGAGACUUAAAUUAUUUAGGUAACACAAAACGUAUGGAUACUGGAGUUGAGGGAAAAUUCCUUCUCCUUGCUAUUUCUUUUUUCUUGUCCAAAGACAUGGAAUUACUGACUUCUCUUCCAGUUUUUGGUGGAGUAGGAUCGGUGAUGAUAACUUGUGCAGUUGUAUACUUUAUCUGGCGUUACAAGAAGAGUAAAUUUAGUCCAUCCCACUUCCUCUCGACAAAGAAACUAUCAGAUAUUUUUAAUCACGAUGUUGAGGGAGGCAGUAUAUUCUUCGGUGUCCCAGUCUUCCCCUAUUCAGAACUUGAAGAGGCCACAAAUGAUUUCAAUUCCUCGAGAGUACUUGGAGAUGGAGGUUAUGGAACUGUUUACUAUGGUAAGAAACUUCCUAGUCCAACUAAGCUAUGCAUCAACUAUUUCUUCUUGUGGCUAAUUCUUGUCCAUCAAUGAACAGGAAAACUUAAGGAUGGUCGAGAGGUUGCUGUGAAGCGCCUCUACGAGCACAACUGCAAGCGAAUGGAGCAGUUUGUAAAUGAAAUUGAGAUCCUUACUAGACUAAGGCACAACAAUCUUGUCACCCUCUAUGGCUGCACUUCAAGGCGAAGCCGUGAACUACUCCUUGUCUAUGAAUACAUUCCUAAUGGAACUCUUGCUGAUCACCUCCAUGGUGACAGAGCGAAGGACGGAUUACUCACGUGGCCAAUCCGCAUGAACAUCGCCAUAGAAACUGCUGGUGCAUUGGCUUACCUGCAUGCUUCUGACAUAAUACACUGUGAUGUCAAGACUAAUAACAUACUCCUUGAUCACAACUUUAGUGUUAAAGUUGCAGAUUUUGGGAUUUCAAGGCUCUUCCCAAAUGAUGUCUCUCAUAUUUCAACUGCACCGCGGGGGACCCCUGGCUAUAUUGAUCCAAAGUAUCACGAAUGUUACCAGCUGACUAGUAAAAGCGAUGUUUAUAGCUUCGGGGUGGUUCUUGUUGAACUCAUUUCAUCCAUGCCAGCUGUGGAUAUGAGUAGGCAUAGCCAAGAGAUUAAUUUGGCUAACUUCGCAAUAAACAAGAUUAUAAAAUCUGCAUUUAACGAGCUGAUCGAUCCAUCUCUGGGGUUCGAUUCAGAUACCAAGAUUUGGGAAAUGGCAACUUCAGUGGCAGAACUGGCUUUUCUAUGCUUGCAGACAGAUAGGGAUGUGAGGCCUAGUAUGGUUGAAGUUUUGGAUAUUCUAAAGGAGAUUCAGACUAGUGAAUUUGACAAUGAGAAGAGAGCUAAAGUAGCAACAGCUCCUCCUUUCCCUGAAUCAGAAAAUUUGUUAUUGUUGAAGCAAGUCAAAUCACUACCUUCACCAAAUUCUUUGACUGAUAAUUGGUUUACUUGCUCUGAUAUAACUAGUACAACUAGUUAAAGUUC